UUUUUUUUUUUUUUUUUUUUUUUUUUUUUUUUUUUUUCGUUUAUACAAAGUGCCAGGUGUUUUGAGGACAUCAGUAAUGAAGCACAAAAGAUCAAACUGAAUUGCAUUAGACUUUUUUGUUUUUGGUGUAAGCAGAUAUAUCCAGAAGAUACUGAGUGCAUUAUAGAUAUUCUAGGAUCUUGUUAGAAUGUUGGAUCAGUUUUUCUUUUGCCUAAAGUAAAUAUGGUUUUCAGCACAACCUAUGUGCUGGUUUAGUCUAUACAUACUACUGUUACCUUCACAAAAAAAAAAAAAAAAAAAAAAAAAUUGCCAGGUGUUUGGAAAAAAUGUCACUGUAAGAAAUUCGGACCUUGUUCGCACUGUUGAGGAGUGGAAAUCUCAGUUUUAUAUACCUUUAAGUUCUUACUGAUUUUCACUUUCAAGUUGCUUUAGUUGUUUCGUUGAGGAAAUUCAUGUCGCGCCUCAAUUUUUACUUCACUAGUUUUGGACACGGGCGUUGCACGUGUGUCCCAUGGAAGUAGUAUAAACGAUAUAAAUUAUAUUAAAGAUGCAGCGAAAUGAGUUAUAACAAAAAUAAUUUAGUGAAAAAGUAAGUUAAUUGGGCGGUGUUAGAGCUUUUCAUUUGAAGUUUUCGGAUUCAUUGGCAUUGCCUGUGUAUGAGGCUUUGCCUGAUCAAAGAGAAAAUACCGAGAAGAAAAAGUAGAGAAAGUGAAAUCUUGGGUCUUCAAAAGAUUUUUCCAGCUAGAUAUCAGCCUGUAAUAAUAUAGAAAGAGCAUGUUCGUCGACUUUGUUGUGUUUAAAGAGUGGGACUUGUAGUGUUUUGAAAAUUGGGAGAGGAGGAAUGGAAAAUGGUGAAGUUGUGGAGAAUGUUUUAGCUGCCAUUGAAGCAAUUGUUGAGUUUGUUCCGAAAAAAUUGGGUGGUGUUAGAGCUUUUCAUUUGAAGUUUUCUGAUUCAUUGGCAUUGCCUGUUUAUGAGGGUAAGUAAUCGACGCAUAGGCUCACAAUCAAAUGUUACAUUUUUUUUGGUAAAUUUGGAUCAAGUGUUUCCGUUUUUAAUCUUAUUAGGUAGUGAAUACAACAAUGUGUUCUUUUUCCUUUUGCUUCUUUUCAUUGUCUGGCUUGAUCCGGUGUCGUUUCAAAGUGAGAAAUUCUAAUGUUAUAUUUCUUGGUAGCUUAUCAGUGUAGUCGGUUCAAUUUAUGAUAAAAGCGAGAGUUUCAAUCAUCAUGCGCUUCAAAGGCCAGUGUUUCAUACUUUUCUAUUUUAGCUAGUUGUUGUUGUGUAUUACACGUGCAACUAUUUCUAAUCAUUGGGAUCAUGCGAGAAUUUUGCUCUAAUAUCUUGAGCAGUCAUAAACUUUAGCUGAUUCCUGAUCACUCAUAUUUUCAGGUUUACAAAACUAAAAGCGUUGAUAAUUUUGGUUUUGGAUUCUGCAUAGGACAGCUAUCUGUUAUGACAUUUUAUAUGUGGAUUAUGUAUGUGCUUAUUUUAUGUCAUAAAUGCUAAGCAGCAGCAGCAGCAGCACAGGUAUUAUGCUAGGACAAGUUUCAUUUUAAUAAUAUGGUGAUGAGGUAAUCAUUGGUAUGGACAACAAAGGAUCCGAACAUGAGAUACGUAAAAUAAAACAUCCAAGGUUCAUUACAGAGCUUUUAUGCAGAAAUGUUGUAUCUUAGAUGGAAGAAAUAAGGUCUCUCUCUUUGAGGAAUGUGAUGCAAUCAUCAAACAUCUCUUCAAUGGACUUGAAUUUCAUUCCUAAGCCCUCCAGCUUCGAAGUGUUGAAUUCAUAGGGAGGUCGAUCCAGUUCCUUAAACCUGAAAUAGCAGUGUUGGCAAAUGUGAAUCUUCAUCAAAACGGGGCAGAGCUACAUCUUAUGAAGGGAAAAGGAAAAGGAAUGUUAUGCAACUGAUGGGUUUGAGCCAUCUACCUCAACUGUAGAAGGCAAGGAGCUCACCAAAUUAGCCACCCUCAACGCCAUGAAGGGAAUUCAAUUCCUCAGUCGGAAAAUUAUAUUGUGUAAAAGGAUAGAAAGAACCGGAGUUCUUUAUAUAUAUGUUGAAUCCCCCUGUACACGGAAAGCUUUAGGGUAGUGGCAGUUCAAAAAUUGCUUUAGGUCGCAGGUUUGAAUCCUUUUUAUGGAAUUCUUGUGUUCUUUUUUUUAGUCCCUUCGUUAGAAUUUCUGUUUUCGCCAUUGUAUGUGACAUAGACAAGUAAUGAGAGUAUGAUUAGUUCGAUGUACCUGGAUCUCUAACUGUGCCAAUGACAUGAUAACCAGACAAGAGAAGGCGUUUGAUCAACCAUGAAGCUACAAAACCAGAUGCACCUGUCACACACACUUUUCCCUUGUAAUUAUUGGUGUUUUCUUCUACUACUACAUUUUUAUCCUCCAUUAUUUCCAUGCUUUACAACUUCUU